rnacentral:lncRNA from 1 species
AAAAAUAACCAAAAACAUACUUCUUCUCCCUCCAUUCUUUCACUUAGAUUUUUAGGUAAUAAUUUUUCAAGUAAGCAAAUGAAUUUAGCACAAGAUAAUCUAGGUAAGAGGUUCCUAUGGGAUACCAUAGACGCUUAGGGUGCUAGCACCUUCCCUUCGCGUAACCAACCCCCAAAUCCAAAGUCUUAAGGGUUUUUACUCAUUUUUUCCCUUCCCACGAAUAAAAAUCGAGAGUUCAGAGAUUGAC